GAUGAACGCUGGCGGCGUGCCUAAUACAUGCAAGUCGAGCGAACAGACGAGGAGCUUGCUCCUCUGACGUUAGCGGCGGACGGGUGAGUAACACGUGGAUAACCUACCUAUAAGACUGGGAUAACUUCGGGAAACCGGAGCUAAUACCGGAUAACAUGUUGAACCGCAUGGUUCAACAGUGAAAGACGGUCUUGCUGUCACUUAUAGAUGGAUCCGCGCCGCAUUAGCUAGUUGGUAAGGUAACGGCUUACCAAGGCAACGAUGCGUAGCCGACCUGAGAGGGUGAUCGGCCACACUGGAGCUGAGACACGGUCCAGACUCCUACGGGAGGCAGCAGUAGGGAAUCUUCCGCAAUGGGCGAAAUCCUGACGGAGCAACGCCGCGUGAGUGAAGAAGGUCUUCGGAUCGUAAAACUCUGUUAUUAGGGAAGAACAAAUGUGUAAGUAACUAUGCACGUCUUGACGGUACCUAAUCAGAAAGCCACGGCUAACUACGUG
rnacentral:rRNA from 1 species